CCUACGGGAGGCAGCAGUGGGGAAUAUUGCACAAUGGGCGAAAGCCUGAUGCAGCAACGCCGCGUGAGUGAUGACGGUCUUCGGAUUGUAAAGCUCUGUCUUUUGGGACGAUAAUGACGGUACCAAAGGAGGAAGCCACGGCUAACUACGUGCCAGCAGCCGCGGUAAU
rnacentral:rRNA from 1 species